rnacentral:tRNA from 4 species
GCACCCGUAGCUCAGCUGGAUAGAGCGCUGCCCUCCGAAGGCAGAGGUCACAGGUUCAAAUCCUGUCGGGUGCGCCA